rnacentral:lncRNA from 1 species
CUCACCCACUGUAGACACCGGCAACGGCCCUUCGGCAUCAACCCCUUCGGGUUCUGGCUCAUACCCUUCCAGGUGAAGGUCCUGAAAUUUCUCCACCGAAUGCUUCUCCAAGUCUACCACGUUUCCGGCGCCUAUAAAAUCCAAACAAUCCUGAAAGCCGACCGCAUGAAAGGAACCCGCCCCGGCGGCUAUCUCAUCCUUAAACUCUUGUGAUUCUUUAUACUUCUCCACACAGUCCCGGUAGGUAAUAUU